GGGGAUGUUUAGGAUUCGACAGGGAUGCUAGUCUGUCUAGUGGCACGUAAGAGGGUUGUCUCUUCAAAAACACAACAGUUUAAAUAUAACUGACAACAAUAAAUCAUUAGCUUUAGCAGCUUAAUUAGCUAAAGGCUGAUUACUUUAUUUGGUUGUGAUAAAGAUAAUCGGUUCAUUAAAUAACAACCUACGUUUUAAUUCUUCAGCUUGUAGAAUUAAAGAAUAAGAUAAUCAAGCUCGUUUUUUACAGCCUGUUUGUUGGCUUAUAUAAAAAAUUAAAUUUAAUAAAUAAACUAAACGUGUAGAAGCUAGGGAGAGGUGUUUUUGGACGCGGGUUCAAAUCCCGCCAUCUCCAUUU
rnacentral:tmRNA from 2 species